rnacentral:tRNA from 1 species
UGACCCAUGGUGUAAUGGUAACACAUCUGAUUUUGGUUCAGACGUUUAAGGUUCGAGUCCUUAUGGGUCAA